rnacentral:miRNA from 1 species
CACUUAGAUUGUUCUUAGUAUGAG